GGGUUGUGAGGUUAAGCGACUAAGCGUACACGGUGGAUGCCCUGGCAGUCAGAGGCGAUGAAGGACGUGCUAAUCUGCGAUAAGCGCCGGUAAGGUGAUAUGAACCGUUAUAACCGGCGAUUUCCGAAUGGGGAAACCCAGUGUGACUCGUCACACUAUCAUUAACUGAAUCCAUAGGUUAAUGAGGCGAACCGGGGGAACUGAAACAUCUAAGUACCCCGAGGAAAAGAAAUCAACCGAGAUUCCCCCAGUAGCGGCGAGCGAACGGGGAGGAGCCCAGAGCCUGAAUCAGCAUAUGUGUUAGUGGAAGCGUCUGGAAAGGCGCGCGAUACAGGGUGACAGCCCCGUACACAAAAGCGCAUGUGCUGUGAGCUCGAUGAGUAGGGCGGGACACGUGGUAUCCUGUCUGAAUAUGGGGGGACCAUCCUCCAAGGCUAAAUACUCCUGACUGACCGAUAGUGAACCAGUACCGUGAGGGAAAGGCGAAAAGAACCCCGGCGAGGGGAGUGAAAAAGAACCUGAAACCGUGUACGUACAAGCAGUGGGAGCACAGGUUUACCUGUGUGACUGCGUACCUUUUGUAUAAUGGGUCAGCGACUUAUAUUCUGUAGCAAGGUUAACCGAAUAGGGGAGCCGGAGGGAAACCGAGUCUUAAUUGGGCGUUAAGUUGCAGGGUAUAGACCCGAAACCCGGUGAUCUAGCCAUGGGCAGGUUGAAGGUUGGGUAACACUAACUGGAGGACCGAACCGACUAAUGUUGAAAAAUUAGCGGAUGACCUGUGGCUGGGGGUGAAAGGCCAAUCAAACCGGGAGAUAGCUGGUUCUCCCCGAAAGCUAUUUAGGUAGCGCCUCGUGAAUUCAUCUCCGGGGGUAGAGCACUGUUUCGGCUAGGGGGCCAUCCCGGCUUACCAACCCGAUGCAAACUGCGAAUACCGGAGAAUGUUAUCACGGGAGACACACGGCGGGUGCUAACGUCCGUCGUGAAGAGGGAAACAACCCAGACCGCCAGCUAAGGUCCCAAAGUCAUGGUUAAGUGGGAAACGAUGUGGGAAGGCCCAGACAGCCAGGAUGUUGGCUUAGAAGCAGCCAUCAUUUAAAGAAAGCGUAAUAGCUCACUGGUCGAGUCGGCCUGCGCGGAAGAUGUAACGGGGCUAAACCAUGCACCGAAGCUGCGGCAGCGACACUAUGUGUUGUUGGGUAGGGGAGCGUUCUGUAAGCCUGCGAAGGUGGCCUGUGAGGGUUGCUGGAGGUAUCAGAAGUGCGAAUGCUGACAUAAGUAACGAUAAAGCGGGUGAAAAGCCCGCUCGCCGGAAGACCAAGGGUUCCUGUCCAACGUUAAUCGGGGCAGGGUGAGUCGACCCCUAAGGCGAGGCCGAAAGGCGUAGUCGAUGGGAAACGGGUUAAUAUUCCCGUACUUGGUGUUACUGCGAAGGGGGGACGGAGAAGGCUAUGUUGGCCGGGCGACGGUUGUCCCGGUUUAAGCGUGUAGGUGUGUGUUCCAGGUAAAUCCGGUUCACUUUAACACUGAGGCGUGACGACGAGGCACUACGGUGCUGAAGCAACAAAUGCCCUGCUUCCAGGAAAAGCCUCUAAGCAUCAGGUAACAUCAAAUCGUACCCCAAACCGACACAGGUGGUCAGGUAGAGAAUACCAAGGCGCUUGAGAGAACUCGGGUGAAGGAACUAGGCAAAAUGGUGCCGUAACUUCGGGAGAAGGCACGCUGACACGUAGGUGAAGUGAUUUACUCAUGGAGCUGAAGUCAGUCGAAGAUACCAGCUGGCUGCAACUGUUUAUUAAAAACACAGCACUGUGCAAACACGAAAGUGGACGUAUACGGUGUGACGCCUGCCCGGUGCCGGAAGGUUAAUUGAUGGGGUCAGCGCAAGCGAAGCUCCUGAUCGAAGCCCCGGUAAACGGCGGCCGUAACUAUAACGGUCCUAAGGUAGCGAAAUUCCUUGUCGGGUAAGUUCCGACCUGCACGAAUGGCGUAAUGAUGGCCAGGCUGUCUCCACCCGAGACUCAGUGAAAUUGAACUCGCUGUGAAGAUGCAGUGUACCCGCGGCAAGACGGAAAGACCCCGUGAACCUUUACUAUAGCUUGACACUGAACAUUGAGCCUUGAUGUGUAGGAUAGGUGGGAGGCUUUGAAGUGUGGACGCCAGUCUGCAUGGAGCCGGCCUUGAAAUACCACCCUUUAAUGUUUGAUGUUCUAACGUGGACCCGUGAUCCGGGUUGCGGACAGUGUCUGGUGGGUAGUUUGACUGGGGCGGUCUCCUCCUAAAGAGUAACGGAGGAGCACGAAGGUUGGCUAAUCCUGGUCGGACAUCAGGAGGUUAGUGCAAUGGCAUAAGCCAGCUUGACUGCGAGCGUGACGGCGCGAGCAGGUGCGAAAGCAGGUCAUAGUGAUCCGGUGGUUCUGAAUGGAAGGGCCAUCGCUCAACGGAUAAAAGGUACUCCGGGGAUAACAGGCUGAUACCGCCCAAGAGUUCAUAUCGACGGCGGUGUUUGGCACCUCGAUGUCGGCUCAUCACAUCCUGGGGCUGAAGUAGGUCCCAAGGGUAUGGCUGUUCGCCAUUUAAAGUGGUACGCGAGCUGGGUUUAGAACGUCGUGAGACAGUUCGGUCCCUAUCUGCCGUGGGCGCUGGAGAACUGAGGGGGGCUGCUCCUAGUACGAGAGGACCGGAGUGGACGCAUCACUGGUGUUCGGGUUGUCAUGCCAAUGGCACUGCCCGGUAGCUAAAUGCGGAAGAGAUAAGUGCUGAAAGCAUCUAAGCACGAAACUUGCCCCGAGAUGAGUUCUCCCUGAGACUUAGAGUCUCCUGAAGGAACGUUGAAGACGACGACGUUGAUAGGCCGGGUGUGUAAGCGCAGCGAUGCGUUGAGCUAACCGGUACUAAUGAACCGUGAGGCUUAACCUUACAACGCCGAAG
rnacentral:rRNA from 1 species